UCGAGCGGAACGAGUUAUCUGAACCUUCGGGGAACGAUAACGGCGUCGAGCGGCGGACGGGUGAGUAAUGCCUAGGAAAUUGCCCUGAUGUGGGGGAUAACCAUUGGAAACGAUGGCUAAUACCGCAUAAUGCCUACGGGCCAAAGAGGGGGACCUUCGGGCCUCUCGCGUCAGGAUAUGCCUAGGUGGGAUUAGCUAGUUGGUGAGGUAAGGGCUCACCAAGGCGACGAUCCCUAGCUGGUCUGAGAGGAUGAUCAGCCUCACUGGAACUGAUACACGGUCCAGACUCCUACUGUAGGCAGCAG
rnacentral:rRNA from 1 species